UACAGCUCUGCUUUAACACCCACCUCCUAUAUGAACAAGGUCUCAAGGUCUUGCAAAGGUAACCUGUUGGAGCAAGCCUUGGUCUUUGCAAGCCAAGCAUAUUCAAGGGAUUUUACGAAGGGACUGUGUAUGCUGAUGUGGGUGAGGCUAAGGAAACAGACAAGAAAUAUUGAUGUCUCCAGGGACCCACACACACAUAAAGGGGGAUCCAGCAUUCCUUUAAGGCUGUACCUAAAAGCUGAGGGAGUAAUGUUUCCAGAACCUGGGUGAGAAUCGGAGCAAUAGGAGAAGAUGUCACCAUACAGGGAUGAAGCCCUGGGCAGAACCAUACUGAAGCAGGAAAUGCAGGAAACAAGGAUCUCUGCUGCUCUCCCCUCUAGAUUUGCAAUCCUCUGCCAGUUUCUUGCAUGGACUGAAACCAACUAGAUGCUGCGGAGCAGGAAACCCCAUGGGACAUGGGCUGUAAAAGUCAGCGUCCCAUAUUGUGAAGUGUGCAACAGCAGCAGAGACAGACAGAGAGUUAAUCCAGGAUUUCUUUUCCACUUACCUACACGAUAGGACAUUUAGAGCCAGUUGUUGAAGUCUAAUGGAUUGACUGAGAUUGUUCCAUCUUACUCUUUUUAGAGGCAAAUAAAGAGGAUCAAUCAAACUUCUAAUCUUGAAUUCUGCAUUUGCAUAAAGAACUCUGGGGAGUAUCGUCCACUUUCAAUAGCAGGAGGUAUGAACUUAUUUUCACAAUAAUCAGAUGACAGGACUUCAGAAGCUUUUGCUUGAUCUUCCACACGAGCCAAGGAACCAACAUGAGUUCUUGAGAAAUACUCCAUAUGUUGAUUCCAAUACAAUGGCUUCUGUAGCUUUCAGAAUGUGAUGCAUCACAUGAAAUAAUACUUCCAUGAAGAAACCAUUUGUGUUUUCCAAAAUUUCAACAACUGGACAUCACCUGGUGCCAGAAGUUUUCUGUGUCCACUGGAUAUGGGAUCUUCAUUGCCAGCCAAGCAGAGGCUAAUCAGUGUGUCAGCUGGCUCCAAGAUUUCAUCCAAGUUACUGCUUGCUGUCUUAUAUAACUUUUAUACCAACCGUAGCAGGCUGGGAUCCCAAAGAAGCCAACUCUGAGCCAGAGAUGAGUGUGGGAGAGGAGGAUUAGGAUUGCUUUUGGGAUUAAAACCUGUGGACAUAGGAUUAGGUGGAGAGAAAAGUUGUGUUGAGAUGUGGGCUCUGGGGGGACUUCAGCCCCUCCUAGGGGGAGAGCUGGAACUGAGAGGAUCCUUCAGCAUUGUCUUCCUGCUGAGGGAGGGGCCAGGCUUUUAUGCACCCACAUGUGUGAUAGAGGGAAGUGACCUCAUUCAUGAGACGGCCCUUCAGCUCAGGCCUUUUCCCCAGGGGCUGACAAGGGAGUAUCUCUCUGCCAGCAGCCCAAUCAGGAGCCAGAGAGUUCUCUGACUGUCUUCUACCAGCCAACAAGCCUCACACCAGCAUCCCAACUUGAAAAAUCUUGAGUGUAAAUACUGCAAUUAUAAAUCAUAUCUAGUAAAUUUUAUUCUUUUAUCAGACAUUCUUUACUCACUCAUCCCUUUUCCAACCCAGUAAGUAUAGUUAUUUUUUUCAUCCUUAUAAUCAUGACUAUUUUUAGCCUUGUGUUAGUUUUCAAAGAUGGACCCAGAAUCCUUUCCUCCUUCUGGCAGUAUGGCAGUGCUCAUGUUAACAGCUGGAGUGCACGUCCCUUCCUGUUGUAUGUGAGCUGGCUUGUGACUUGGUUUCACCAACAGAAUGCAGUGGAUGUGAUGCUCUGACUUCCAAGACCAGGCCAUUGGGAUUCUGUCAGAUUAUAAUUCUGCCUUGGAAGCCAGUUUUUAUGUAAAAAGUCAAAAUACUCAGAGCCAUCAUAUUUGCAGGUAGCCCAAACUACACAGAGACGGAGAAAAAAGCUUCAGAGAGGAACGCUGAGAACUAAACAAUAUUAUGGAAUCCCUUUUAUGCCUUUUUGUAGAGUUACAUACAUUUGUUUAUAACUGUUUAAGGACAAUUUAGACCGUUUCAAA
rnacentral:lncRNA from 10 species